UCCGGGGAGGGGCCGACUGUGAAGAUCCCGGAGUGCGGAGUCCUCAGCGCGGAGGCUGCUGCCCCUGGCGUUCAGUGCGGCCGCGCGAACUGAGUGGGAACGUCCCCUGGCUCUCAGAAAUGUGGGACAGGAAAACGUUGGGGACCUUUGCACUGUGCCGGGGACAGGGUAAAGGAAGACCUAGGUCCGACCCCGCCUCCCUAGGCAGUGCCUCGCUUUAUGAAAUAGCUGGAGUCUGACACUUUCAAAGCUUGCACCGAACUCAUCCUCCCCAGCGCCCACGCUCCCCUCUUCCUGCAAUACAUGCACCAGCAGCCGAGACCUUGCUCUAUUGCAGUUCAUGAAACUACUUGCCAUGCAUGUCAACUUGUCAUCCAGAAACUCUCAGGAGGUAGAGAUCACUUAACACAGUUUUAGGUGGAGCAGUGGCUUGUGGAGUGGCAAAGUUUGGGACUCACUCACUUAACUGAAGAUACCCCAGCCUAGAAGAAGGACCAGUAGAAAAGGCAAUGCCUCAAAGGUGAUACCUGCAUCAGUAAUGUCCACCCUUCUGGUACAGGGAGUUUUGAAAAAAUCCUGUCAUGAGAGAAUGUCCAUAAGGCAGACCUGCCAUGAUCAAAGAUAGUCUUCCUCCUGGUUCAAGAUGGCACAGUCCUAGGUGUCACAUGGAAAUACAACCACAUCCAAUAGCAGAAGAGGACUGUCUCUUGACAAAAGGCCUCACUCAGCAGAGGAUCUCCAUCUGAAGAGCUUCUCUCCAGGAGUACCCUGGCCUCCCAAGAUGCUGACAGCAGUUUCCUGACUUAGCUGAUUCAGCCCUGGUCGGCCUGCUCUUGGAGGAUGCUUCAUCCUGUCAGCUUCCUGGUGAUAACCGGCCUUAGCCCGCCAUGCCUGUCUAUUCCUGUGCCCUUUCUUAUGGAAUUUCUGCCCAUCCAAAACUGAGCAGUUGUGGAAGUAAGUCUAUGCUAUAAAACCUGGAAGCACCCAGAUCUCUCCUCCAAAUUCAGUGACCCCUGCGUCUAACAGGAAGACAUACACAGAUGCUGAAAACUGGUGUAGUAUCUUUUUCUUAAAGGCAGGCUUGGCUUUGUACUUCUGCAUCUCUGCUCACUUCUACACAGAGAACAAAGGAAUUUUUGUGGAGGCAGACACAUCCCACAUUCCUAGUUUACAGAAUUUAUUUUUAACCAGAGCUACAUUUAGAAAUAUAUGAGCAACUAUACUAGUAAUAAUAGGCAGAAGAAGAGAAGGCGUGUGUGUGGAUUCAUCUUUCUAGGUAGGUAUGGCUCCAGUUAAUAUUUAAAAUGGUCUCGAAUUCUCUGAGCACACACUAUCUGAUGGGGGAGGUUGUGACGAGAGAGACAGGUGGUGGUGGGGAAGCUGACCUAGGAUUAAAAAUUAAUUAUACUCAAUUUGGAAAUCAGAUCAUUGUAGGCAGAUGGAUGUGGAGUUUAAUAUGAUUUUGUAUUUAACUUUUUUGAGGAGAUUUAAAGUCUUAUGCACCAACUAGGCAAUUUAUGAACUCACAUUUCAGCUUUAAUUCUACCUCAUCACAAGUAGAAUUAUAGGGCUGGAAAAACUCCACCAAUCGUUCUCCCUUGGAAAGAACCACACCCGGAGCCAGCCAAGGCAACAGGGAUCCCUAACACAUUUUUUUUGAGACUUCUAAUUUAAGGUAUUCUACAGCCAGUCUCCCUCGGGAGCAAAUUCUGGUGUUCUACUUUUCCAUUCUGUUAGCCUCUGCUGUGUUUCCUCUUCCCCUGCUCCAGGCAGCUGGAUAGACCAAGAAACCUUUACCUCUACCUUCAUCAGCUUCAGCCUCAGCUUUAGCAUCUUCAGGGGCCUGCUUUGCUGUUCCAUGGGCUGUGAAGUGAGGCAUGCUGGACCAGGGCACAGCCCUGGGCCAAAAGGGAAGGAGAAUAAACAGGGAGGGUCCUGCCCACUUAGGGUAUAGGAUUUGGGCCAGAAGGAACUAAUGUGAUUCUAGAGGCUGGCCCACAACAGAACUUGAUCGAUUCAAGAUACAGUGCCCAAAGGGAAAAGAAAGCCUGGGCAAAUGACGGUCCUAGAGUGUCCUGUUUGGUUGGUGGUGUAAGGUAGGGAGAGAUUCUGGGCAGCAGCAAGCAUGCAGGAAUUGGAUCCAGCAGAGAUGUGGUUCUGGAAGAGCUGAACAUUCGUGGAGGUAUCGGCAAAUGGAUGAGGGCAUAAAGAAGAGUUCUCUUUCUUUCAGGGAAAGAUACUGGCAAGCAGGCAAGGGUUUCAGGGCCCGAAUAAGCAGUCCAGGGAUCAGAAUAAUACUCAAGUUCUGGAGGGAAGGUGGGCUUCCUUCUAGUGGUCAUUGCUGAUGCGGCUCUCCUCAUUCUGCCCACUCUAUCAGGGUACCUUAUUACAUCUUUGGAGUCAAUGACCACCUUGGUGAUUUCCUACUUUAAAUCUAGUCCAGACCUUUCCUGGACUCCAGGCCUUCAUCUCCAGCUGCCCACUGGACCCCUUAACAUAACAUGUUCAAAGAAACUCACAGCUUCCCCCAACCUGCUUUUCUUCCUAUGUUCUUUAUUUCAAGGGAAGGAUUCAUUCUUGAUUCUUCCUUGUUCUCACUCACCAUAUUUAGUCUUUCAUAAAACCCAAUCGUAUCUUCCUUCUAAAUAGCUCCUAAUUUUGUCCCCUCCUGUUUCACUGGCAAUAUCUUAGUCCUGGUCACCAUCACAAUUUCACCAGAAUUUGUGCUAUAACCUUUUAACUGUUCUCCUUGCCUCUAGUCAUGCAUGUCCUUUGCCAACUCUUCCUCCUAAAUGUAACUUUGAUUUUUAUCUCUCUUCUACUUAAAAUCUUCACUGCCCCCAGGAUAAAAUGCAGAACUUACCAGCUUAAAGGCUCAUGACCUGCCCUGCCUACCUGUCCACCUCUUACUUCUUCUUCCACAUCCUCCUCCAGCCAUAUUGAACUUCUUAAGGUCCCUGAGGAAGCCUAGAUUUCUCUGGAUGCCACAUCUGUAUAUAUGGGGUUCUUCAUGUGAAUAACUUUUACUCAUCUUUUGGGGUUCAAUUCAAAGUAUCAUCUUCUCUAGGACUCUUCUCUGGGUGAAUGCCCCUCUUACCUGCUCC